GUCUCCUUUUGGAAUGCAUCAUACAUCAGCUCCCCUGUCCUCCAUAGUUUCUCGAAUUCUUCCAUCACAGGCUCGAGGAACACAUCCAUAUCAAAUCCUGGUUGCUGAGGGCCAGAAACAAGAACAGUGAGGAAAAGAUACUUUCUCUUCUAACACAACCACGUUGGGAUGUUGUACAUGGUCAAGAUCACUGGCCAAGUGCUAUGGUUGCUCGUCCUCUCGUUGAAGGGAUUGUUGAUAUUUGGUAACGCAAUCAGGAAAUGAUCCACAGGCGCACGGAUAUCGGUGAGCAUUUCACCCGAGAGGUUUUCCAGAGUAUCGUAUUUAUAUUUCUACCACUGGGAGAAAGGGUGCAUCUGACUAACCAAAUCUAAUGCUACUAUCCCUUUAGGCUACAAAGAAUGUUUCUCGAUGUGAGUGAUGUAUAGAGAAGACUGCAACCGUAGUCUCGUUCUAACCUUGGUAAGGAUGAUCUACUGUUCUAUUGGGGAAGCUUACGGAAUCUAGACACCACAAAGGAUGUUCGACCCGCACCUAUAAACCUACCCGUCCUGCU
rnacentral:lncRNA from 1 species